AUCUACCUGACGAGUCCCAAAAUAGGACGAAACGCACAU
rnacentral:hammerhead_ribozyme from 1 species